CAGUCGCCACGGUAAUACAGAGGGUGCGAGCGUUAAUCGGAUUUACUGGGCGUAAAGCGUGCGUAGGCGGCUAAUUAAGUCGGAUGUGAAAUCCCCGAGCUUAACUUGGGAAUUGCAUUCGAUACUGGUUAGCUAGAGUAUGGGAGAGGAUGGUAGAAUUCCAGGUGUAGCGGUGAAAUGCGUAGAGAUCUGGAGGAAUACCGAUGGCGAAGGCAGCCAUCUGGCCUAAUACUGACGCUGAGGUACGAAAGCAUGGGGAGCAAACAGGAUUAGAUACCCCUGUAGUCCCUGUCUCUUAUAC
rnacentral:rRNA from 1 species